rnacentral:tRNA from 1 species
GGAGAGUUACAUUAAUGGUAAAUGAGCAGUCUGCUAAGCUGUUGUCCUAAAGGACUUACAGGUUCGAGUCCUGUACUCUCCGCCA